ensembl:lncRNA
GGAUUGCUAGGUCAUAUGGUAGUUGUAUGUAUAGAUUUCCAAGAUAUCUCCUUACUGAUCUCCAUAGUGGUUAUACCAGCUUACAUUCCCACCAACAGUUCAGGAAGGUUCCCUUUUCUCCACACUCCCUCCAGCAUUACCUCCAGGCACACACACACACACAAUUGAGUUCAGUAGCCUAUUUUCCUUGUUCAGUACUUUUUAUAGGUUAUACCAUUGUUCAGUAUUAAAUUCACAGAUUAAAGGACAAAAGGUAUGCAUUAAUAGAUCUCUUAAUUGUUCACUCCUUCAUGAAAAAUCAAGAGCAUUGGUUUUGCUCUUAAAAGUACUUGCAGGCCUACAUAUGAUGUGUUUAAAUAUCAUGAACCAAACCUUUCAAAGAUUGCAGAGUCACUUUUGCAUUAUCUCAAGUUAUACACCAUCAUGGUUAAGAAAUAUAUUUUUCUUAAAAUAUAGAAUUUUUAUGGUAAUUUUUUCUUGCUACCAUUCUUUCCAUUUAUAGAUUGACUCUAGGGGCCCCUCAGCUUGCAAUGAGGAAGAGAUACUCCUCUAGAUAAGCAUCUAAAGGUUUAUUAACUUCAGAUAGAGAAAAAAAAAUCUAUAUUUCAAAUGCUUAUUCCUUAUUCAUGACUUCCUUGAACAGAACUACAAGGUGGGUUUUGCUGCAACUUGAAGAACUAUUUAAGGGGUGUGUGCAUUACUCUAAGAGAAGAUCAGAUGUUGGAGAACCAGAGGAGAAUCUGUAUCACACAUACAUGUAUCAGAAUUGAAUAUAUUAUAUAUUGUAUUCCAUUGUAUAUACUUAAUUGUAUGUAUUAUGUAUAUUGUAUUCAAAUAUAUCAUUGUAUUUAUAUAUGCAUAUUAUAUUCAAUUGAGUAUAUACAUUUAGAAAGUUAUCCUCACAGGAUAAAGAAUAUUCUGUGAUAUUUUGGUGUGCUCUACAUUCGAUACAUUUAGCAUCUUAAUGUCACAGCAUGUUGAUACACACAAUAGCAAAAGACUAAUUCUAAAAUCAAGAACAUGGUUCAAAGGGAUUGAAAGCCCUGGCAGUUGAAAGGAGUACACAGGACCUAACUUAUAGGAACUGUCUAUCAGAGAGGGAUAAACUUUUCAUUACCAAAUAAUUUCAAAAAUUAAGACUUCCCCUGUCUUUAUCAUGUUUUGUUUUUAUGUUAAUUCUCUCUCUCUCUCUCUCAUUCAUGCAAGGGAUGGUAAUGCAUUAUGUAUGAGGAAAAGAAGGUAGGAUCUAAUUAAGGGAGGAAAGAAGAAAACAGAAAUUCUACAGCUUCUAUGUUCAGUAAGAUUAGGAAAAUUUCAAGUCCUCCUCAAAGUCUGUCUGGCAGAAAAACAAGAGUUUUAAAAAGCUUCAUUGGCUGAUGGCAGGAGACAGGAAGUAUUGCUAUUGUUCCAUUAGCACUUUAAGAGUAUUGUGUUAUUUUACUAAGUUUGAGAAACCAGAGCUGAGUUAGAAAUUAUAGUUAAACAUACCUACCACAUAGGAACCAUUUGUCAAUUAACUUUUAUUUGUACUAACACUUCCACAUGCAAAGCAUAAUCUCUACCUUGGUAAAUCAAGUAUGGGAAGACAAAGCUGUUGGCUAGAAUUUUUGAGGGAAGUUUGCAGAGUUCCUAUAGGCCUUGAAGGAAUCCAGAGGUUGCAAAUAUUAGAGCAAAGGUGACAGGAAGACUUGGAAAAUGGCAGGCAAGGAGGAAAGAAAAGAAUAAAACAGCAGAGAAAUUCAUAGGAAUUCUACGAAACUAAAACUCUGUUCUAUUUAAGAAGAUACUCAACUAGAACUGGCUUAUGUCAUAACCUGUGCACGAUAAGAGGAAAUCUUUUUAAAAUUAAAUCUUCUAAGCAUAGGCCUUGCAGAUGUGGAAAAAAUGUACCAGGAAGAUAUUUUCAAUUCCCUCUUGGCUAAACUUUCAUACUUGUAGCCAGUAUUAAAAAAAAAAGAAGAAAGAAAUCUUGUUUCCUUAUGAUUUAGGGUAAGAGAUUAUUUAUCCUAGUGUUCUCUCUUCCAAAAAAUGGUGAGCCAGAAUUAGACACAGGUACCUCCUGGUAUAACACAUUCUGCAAGACUUUGAUGCCUGCAUAAAAUGAAAAAGGAAGUGUGUGGCUUAGUGAUUAAUGUUUAUAGCCAUCUAGACUUUAUGAUAUCACAUGAGUUACUGUUAAAAUGACAAUAGAACCCUACCCAUGUAAAAAUCUUCCACCCUAGCCUUCUGAAACAGAAAAUGGUCCCAAUGAAAUCAACUUACUUGUUAUCCAUUAAGAUAUAGCUUCUUUGAAUCAGAUGCUAUCAUUAAGAACCAGGAAAUCAAAUUCAAAAUAGCAUUGCUUUUAAAGUAGAAAAAAAUUUUAACAAGGACCUGUAUUAAUUUCCACUAUGUAGUGUCAUCUACAAAGAGUGGAAAAUAGGUUAUGGACUUGAAUUUAAAUUAACUCUUUUUAUAUUCAAGUAACUACUCAAGAGAGACCAAUACCAGACAAGCCAGGAGUUAAAACAAGGGAAAUUACUCUUCUGGAAAAUUUAACACCUGUGAAAUAGUUUCUAUUAAAUAAAAGACAUUUUACAGGAGAAAUAAAAACCUAACCAGCAUUAUGGUGAUUCCAGUUGGAGAAAAGUCUCACAUGUUGGGUUUCUACAAAUUCUGAAUGCAGGAAAUUUCAGGGGAUAUUGGUUGAGAAGAAGAUUCCUUUCGUGUGGGAGAACUCGUCACAUUAAUUAGGGACGAACCAGAUUAAUAUUAAAAUAAUAUUUCCCCAAAGCGAUUUGUGGUUUGACAUACCAAUGAAAUUGUAACUUUUUCAAGAUGUCCUACCCAAAUGUGUUUUAAAUUAUUACCCCAAAGUGGGCUAACGUGAGUCAGUCAAGAAUGAUUCAGUCAUCACUGACUUUGUAAAAUGUGUUGAUAAAAAUCAUCUAUUUCUUAGGACUUCCAUUUCUCAGAAUUGCCACCAUAUCAUUACAUUUCAUCUUCAUUUAUAAAAUCAGAUUUAGUUACGAUGGUUAUUAUUUUCAGUUGUUACCUGUGCUAGGCAGGAAUGUUUGGGUAUAAGUAUCCGAACUAACUUUAUUUAAAGAGGAGGAAUUUAUUAAGAACACAGUAGGGUCUUAAAGAGUCAAGGGCUAGAAUGUAGAGAAUAAUUGGAACCCCUAAUGGCAUCUUGGAGGAAUCUGGUGAGAAAUUCAUAACCUCUCUGGACAUAUCCUUGUUUCCAUGGAUUGGCAUUCUUUGCUGACGGUGAAUGGUGUCAAGAUGGUCAGGCCAACCUUGGGAAACAACCAUCUCUCAUCCUGAAAGCAGCUUAGGCUGAUGAGAACCUCUUAGCCAUGAUUUCAAGCAUCAGGGGGAGAGGAUCUGACUGGUCCCACUUCUCCCAAAUGCUUACCUUUGUUCAACCAACUAUGUUCAAAUUUAGCUGCAGGGGACACAAUCCACUAGGGGGCAUGGGCAGGAAAAAAAAAAAGUCAUUUUGAGCUAAGCAAACUCACCAAUAGCACCCCUCAGUGUCAAAAAUUAAACAAAUAUAGACUUGUGGUUGCCAAGGGGGAGGGAGAGGGAGUGGGAUGGAUGGGGAGCUUGGGGUUCAUAGAUGCAAACUAUUGCCUUUGGAAUGGGUUAGCAAUGAGAUCCUGCUGUGUAGCACUGGGAACUAUGUCUAGUUACUGAUGAUGGAGCCUGAUAAUGGGAGAAAAAAGAAUGUAAUCAUGUAUGUAUAACUGGAUCACCUUGCUGUACAGUAGGAAAAAAAUUGUAUUGGGGAAAUAACAAUAAAAAAAUAAAAAAUUAAACAGGCAAAAAAACUCAUUUAUAUGAUGGAUCAAGACCCCACAGUUGGUAGUGGAGUUAAGUUUCAUCUAAUCUAAGAUUUCUAGAGUAUCUUCAACUUCAAGAUCCCACUUCAUCAAUGAAAGAAAUACUCAGGAUUAUACCUGACCUAAGAUUAAUUAUUGCUCCUGCUUUCCUGUGUCCAAAGGAUUUAUGUUUUAAUAUUGUGCAAACUGACUUAUAAUAUCAGAAUGUUUUAACUUCUUUUGCCCUCUUUCUUUCUCACUUCUUUGUGUGUACGUAUAUGUGUUAUGUGGUUGGAGGGGAGAGAUAUGGCUGCAUCGACAAAGACGUAUCACUGAAAUAAGAUUCAUCAUGGACUCUUGUCAAGUAACCAGCUAGAAGGUGUGCUUAUUACAACUAUAUAAUUCAAUUCCAUUUAGAUUUGCAUAUAAAAGUGGGUUUCCUAUCCUCAAAAUCACAUUUCAGAUUUCUAUCCUCAAAAACAUAAGUUCAGAUCCUUCACUACUUCUUAAAAAAAAAAGGAAAAUCUCUUUGACAACACAAUUAAAAUUUCCAAAUCCUGAAGCUGUCUGCUGAAGAUAAGGUUUUCAGAAGGAUUUGAGAGUAUUUAGUAAAUCCUCUGUGUUUCCUAAAAUGAAACACGAUCCCAUAUUUCCUGCAGCAAUUCUGCUUCUGUGUAUCCUGAGGUUUUGAGAAUGAAAACAUAGGAAUGGAGGAGUAUAGUUUUAAAAUAUCCAUAUCAUGAAAGAGAAUUGUGAAAAAUCACCCUGUGAAUUAGUAAAUCCUUCUGAAAUCACACAGCAGACAGGAGAUAAUUCAUUUGGAAAGACACCCAUUCCCUCUUAACCGCUCAGAUCACAAGGUGUUUAAGUAGUUUCGUGCAGGAAGUAGGAAACCACUGUUAUAAGAGUGGAUUUUCUCUCCCUCUUGGGUGUGUAACUGCCAAAAUGAAACCAGGCAUAAGAUUGGGCUGAUGUGAGGUUAAAAUGGGCAAGCGUGCGCUCCUUUGGGGGGUGAGGCCUGUACGAUGGUAUAUAAUGUGUUUAUCAUCAUUGCCAUGAACAAUGGGUAAGUUAAGCAGUGCUGAGGUGUUACGUUGCGAGCCACACGGAAAGUCCAGAUGGGUAAGUCAAGGAUCUGAAUUUUGUGCUUAACUCUUGGCCGAAGUCAUGACUGAGCUAAGCAGAUAG